rnacentral:lncRNA from 1 species
CGCGCCAGGCGAGGCGCAUCAUCGAUCCGCGUCCAACCCCGAGGGGCGGGUUUUCCGACUUAAAUACCCUUGUACUAGAUUGUCCCGUCCAGCGGGACUCAGUUAUUCCGGGAAUCGAGGGGGACCCAGCCUGAAAGAGAAACGGGCGAGAAAGAGGAGGGAGACCGAGCAAAUUUUGUCACGGCUCAGCUUUAUUCAUGCGAUGGGUGUUGUUUUUAUGCUAUACUGCUACGUGAGACCAUUAUGCUCUGUGUCAAAGUUCACAUGGUCCUUGUAGUUAACGUUCUUCCUAGGACCCCUUGGAUCAUUGUGCUCUGUGGUUAAUGUUCUUCCUGGGACCCCUCGGAUCAUUGUGCUCUGAAGCAUUCUUCUUCAAACAGGCUUACCCGAUUUAACAUUGAUCUACAAAACCAGGCAAGCUAAAAUAGCAUCUGCAUCCAUACCAGAAGAGGAGGGUUCACACGUGGAACCUCG